rnacentral:rRNA from 1 species
GGAUUAGAUACCCUGGUAGUCCACGCCGUAAACGAUGAAUACUUGUUGUUGGUGGUAUUGACCCCAUCAGUGACGAAGCUAACGCGUUAAGUAUUCCGCCUGGGAAGUACGGUCGCAAGAUUAAAACUCAAAGAAAUUGACGGGGGCCCGCACAAGCAGUGGAGCAUGUGGUUCAAUUCGAUGCAACGCGAAAAACCUUACCUGGAUUUGACAUGUAUUGGAAGACUGCAGAGAUGUAGUCGCCUUCGGGCCGAUACACAGGUGCUGCAUGGCUGUCGUCAGCUCGUGCCG